rnacentral:rRNA from 1 species
GACAGAGGGUGCAAACGUUGUUCGGAAUUACUGGGCGUAAAGCGCGUGUAGGCUGCUCUGCAAGUCGGAUGUGAAAGCCCUGGGCUCAACCUAGGAAGUGCACUCGAAACUGCAGAGCUUGAGUCUCGGAGAGGAUCGCGGAAUUCUCGGUGUAGAGGUGAAAUUCGUAGAUAUCGAGAGGAACACCGGUGGCGAAGGCGGCGAUCUGGGUAGAUACUGACGCUGAUGCGCGACAGCGUGGGGAGCAAACAGGG